rnacentral:rRNA from 1 species
UACGGAGGAUGCAAGCGUUAUCCGGAAUGAUUGGGCGUAAAGCGUCUGCAGGUGGUUUUGUAAGUCUGCUGUUAAAGCGUUAGGCUCAACCUAAUAAGGGCAGUGGAAACUAUGAGACUAGAGUAUGUUAGGGGUAGAGGGAAUUCCCAGUGUAGCGGUGAAAUGCGUAGAGAUUGGGAAGAACACCGGUGGCGAAAGCGCUCUGCUAGGACAAUACUGACACUGAGGGACGAAAGCUAGGGGAGCGAAUGGG